GGAGGUGUGGCUCAGUGGUGGAGCACCUGCUUGACAUCCAGGAGGUCCCAGGUUCAAUCCCUGGCACUCCCA